rnacentral:sRNA from 1 species
AAGGACUUAGCGCAGGAAGCGCACUGAACAGACAGGGAUACGUGGGACGCUGCCAGGAUGGCGCGCUGAUCAAGGAUGUCAGAAUCGAGUCUGCAAACCCCGCCUAGGCGGGGUUUU